rnacentral:rRNA from 1 species
CAAAUGAAUUGACGGGGCCCGCACAAGCGGUGGAGCAUGUGGUUUAAUUCGACGCAACGCGAAGAACCUUACCUGGGUUUGACAUCCUCUGACCGCCUUGGAAACAAGGUUUUCCGGUUCUGCCGGAACAGAGUGACAGGUGCUGCAUGGCUGUCGUCAGCUCGUGUCGUGAGAUGUUGGGUUAAGUCCCGCAACGAGCGUAACCCUUGUCUUUAGUUGCCAGUAUUCAGUUAGGCACUCUAAAGAGACUGCCUCGGUUAACGGGGAGGAAGGUGGGGAUGACGUCAAGUCCUCAUGGCCUUUAUACCCAGGGCUACACACGUGCUACAAUGGGCUGUACAAAGGGUUGCUAUCCCGUGAGGGGGCGCUAAUCCCAAAAAGCAGUCCUAAGUUCGGAUUGAAGUCUGCAACUCGACUUCAUGAAGUUGGAAUCGCUAGUAAUCGUGGAUCAGCACGCCACGGUGAAUACGUUCCCGGGCCUU